CCUACGGGAAGCAGCAGUAGGGAAUUUUUCACAAUGGGUGAAAGCCUGAUGGAGCAACGCCGCGUGCAGGAUGAAGGCCUUCGGGUUGUAAACUGCUUUUAUAAGCGAGAAAUAUGAUGGUAACUUAUGAAUAAGGAUCGGCUAACUACGUGCCAGCAGCCGCGGUCAUACGUAGGAUCCGAGCAUUAUCCGGAGUGACUGGGUGUAAAGAGUUGCGUAGGUGGCAUAAUAAGUAGCUAGUGAAAUCUGGUGGCUCAACCAUUCAGACUAUUAGCUAAACUGUUAAGCUCGAGACCGUUAGGGGUAACUGGAAUUUCUAGUGUAGGAGUGAAAUCCGUAGAUAUUAGAAGGAACACCAAUAGCGUAGGCAGGUUGCUGGGACGGGUCUGACACUAAGGCACGAAAGCGUAGGGAGCAAACGGGAUUAGAUACCCUUGUAGUC
rnacentral:rRNA from 1 species